ACUGAGGACACCGCUCUCCGUCACAGCCCUCAGCUCCUUCCGUCUUCCUUGUGGGAGCCCCACCCCCAUCCCUGAGACUACACGGAAGACACCUCCCUUUCAGCUCUGGGGCCAUCAGUGCUCCAGGUCAGACAUGGACCUCUUGCCACCCCUCGGGCAGUUCUGGAAGUAGCAGGCGGAGGUGAAGGCCAGCAAGCCCAGGAAGCAGGCGGGUAGCAUGGUGUCCGGCAUCCUGGAGCAGGCUUCUGCUGAAACCAGCACACUGAAACUCCUGUUAUUAAGGUCAUAAACUACCUCUAUAUUGACAAAUUUUGUGGUCAUGUCUAUGUCCUCAUUUUACAUAAUCCCUUAGCAGCAUCUGACAUGGAACAAAGAGUUGCAAGCCUGCAGAUUAAACCUCAAAUCUCCAAAUAUUCUUUAACUUUACCGUGAGACCAUCUUUACUGAGAACAGAGUGACUCCAGGACCCUCAGCAGUGUAGACACACAAAUGCUCUGUCAACUCUGAAGAGGUGAACAGCAGUGAGCACAAGUGGGAGCAGCCCCAAACUGCUUACUAAAUUGAAUCCAAGACGAUACCCUGAGCAAGGAUGUCCAACGUGAGAAAAUGCUGGGCUUCGGACAGACAGGCUCUCCCCCAGCCACACGCAUCACACAACCGGGGAUGCCAUCUGCAGUGUGGCAACCACAGCUCGGUGGGAUGCCAGUCCCCACCCGUUAUGACCAUGACUGCGGACUGCCAGCGACCAUUCCGGGGCCACUCACACCUGCUCCUUCCCGAGUCCUCCUCCUUCAGUGGCUGCACACGACGGUGUUGUCGAAGUUAUCACUCCUGCCAUACUAUAUCUGGAUUUUGAAUGAGAAGGGUUUUUCUCAUUCCUGGGUUCACAGGAACCCUCUCAUUUUCCAUUUUCUUCUCGUUCCUGGAUGGUUUCCUUCUUCCAGGAGCUCCAGCACCACUUUGUGAAAGGUCCGUUUUCCCCUGUUUGGUUGGUGAUGCCGCCACUAAUGUAC